GUAAUGAACCAUGUUUUGAAUGAAGUGUCGAAGCCUCAACAAAGCCUCCAUCAGCCAUCACUAGUAAUUACUCCGCCAAGGAACGGUGGAGUUAUGUGAUGAUCGGUGUACGUUUGUCUGUGAAUCCAUCUGUCUGUGUGAAACAUUCCUCAAAAACAGACGGAUUUGGAGGAAAUUUUCAGGGGAAGUCAGAAAUGACACAAGGAUGUAGCUGCCGGCACUGCAUCGCUGUAACCAUGACGUGAACACUGUGUCAGUUACCUGUUGAUGAUCACAUGAUUGCGAUCCCACUACAAAUCGAAUGUGAUUUAUCAGUUGGAAAUCAUACAAGGAACAAAUGAUUAAACUGUGGGCUGUUUCUGAGUCCCAUCAAUUCCUGCAGCCCGCUACAUAUUUACGUCAUGCAAUGUAGCAAACCACAGCCAGACAAUGGUGAAGCUCCUGAUGUUUCACAGUGCCUUUAUUUACAUUCAGCCGUCAGCCUUAUUUUGAACACAAAUUCACCUUUCUGCCCUUCACUCCUUUCUUCAGGAAACACUGUAAGAGCUUGUCUCCAUUGCAGCUGUUUCUAAGUUUAGACACAUCCUUUGUUAGACAGCAACAGCGUGGAACUGUUUUCUUUCAACUUUCCGUGAAUUUUUGGACUUUUCGGCAACGUCUUCAUCAUGUCAAGAAACCGCUUCUUGGAUAAACACUUCCUGUACCGCUGGAAUAGUGACAAAAUAACAGCCCAUAACAUUAAAAAUACGCCUUCAAAAUAAAAGCGUGGAGGGAACGGUUAUUUAACACUAGCCCCUGUCCCACCUGGUAAGCUCAGCUACUAAUUAAAUUUCUUUUGUUUCUUUUUCUUUGCCCCUAGUGUGAAUAGUGUUAAUCUGUUUUAAAAGUACAUGUUUAGAAAAUUGUAUUAAAAUAAAGCAUUUUAAUUUUGGGA